rnacentral:rRNA from 1 species
UGGGGAAUAUUGCACAAUGGGCGCAAGCCUGAUGCAGCAACGCCGCGUGAGGGAUGACGGCCUUCGGGUUGUAAACCUCUUUUAGUAGGGAAGAAGCGAGAGUGACGGUACCUGCAGAAAAAGCACCGGCUAACUACGUGCCAGCAGCCGCGGUAAUACGUAGGGUGCGAGCGUUGUCCGGAAUUAUUGAGCGUAAAGAGCUCGUAGACGGUCUGUCGCGUCUGCUGUGAAAACCCGAGGCUCAACCUCGGGCCUGCAGUGGGUACGGGCAGACUAGAGUGCGGUAGGGGAGAAUGGAAUUCCUGGUGUAGCGGUGGAAUGCGCAGAUAUCAGGAGGAACACCGAUGGCGAAGGCAGUUCUCUGGGCCGUAACUGACGCUGAGGAGCGAAAGCGUGGGGAGCGAACAGGAUUAGAUACCCUGGUAGUCCACGCCGUAAACGUUGGGCGCUAGAUGUGGGGACCAUUCCACGGUUUCCGUGUCGCAGCUAACGCAUUAA